AAGAGAGUAGAAGAAUAAUUGAAAAGAAUCAAGCCGCCGCGGCUUCUGGAGUGUUCUAUUAUUUUAGCUUCCACGGAUUUAUAGCCACCAAUUCCAUCCCCUCACUCACUACACCCUCUCUCUCUCUGCAGCCUUUCUCGCUCAGAUCUCUCACGAUAAGUUUCAGGAUCAGUGGGCUUUUUUUUCUUGGUCCCUCCAAUCUUGUUCAUCUGUUCAUAAAUAGAGAAUCUAUCAAAUCUCAAUAAUAAAUAAUAUAAUGACUCAUAUCCUUCCCUAGAUCAGCCUUUUCCCCCUACGGUUUGUUGUUUCUAUCCUCCUGUUUGGCUUCCGAGAAAAUCAGUAUCAAAACAAUUCAUUCAAAAAAUUAAUUUUUUUAUAAAAAAAUUAUUUUCUUGAUUGUUAGACGUUUUCUCGGAAACUAAACGGGUUAUAAUUUAUGCACGUGGAAUUUGGGU